rnacentral:rRNA from 1 species
GACGAACGCUGGCGGCGUGCUUAACACAUGCAAGUCGAACGGAAAGGCCUGCUUUCCCUUGUGGAUUGCGGGUACUCGAGUGGCGAACGGGUGAGUAACACGUGAGUGAUCUGCCCCCAACUUGGGUAUAAGCCUGGGAAACUGGGUCUAAUUCCCGAUAGGACUGCAGGGUGGUGCCUGUGGUGGAAAACGAUUUUCUAGUGGUUGGGGAUGAGCUCGCGGCCUAUCAGCUUGUUGGUGGGGUAAUGGCCUACCAAGGCGGCGACGGGUAGCCGGCCUGAGAGGGUGGACGGCCACAUUGGGACUGAGCUACGGCCCAGACUCCGACGGGAGGCAGCAGUGGGGAAUAUUGCAAGAUGGGCGGAAGCCUGAUGCAGCGACGCAGCGUGGGGGAUGACGGCCUUCGGGUUGUAAACUCCUUUCGACCGCGAGGAAGCCACCUGGUUGGAAGGGUGGUGACGGUAGUGGGAGAAGAAGCACCGGCUAACUACGUG